rnacentral:rRNA from 1 species
AGAGUUUGAUCAUGGCUCAGAACGAACGCUGGCGGCGUGGAUAAGACAUGCAAGUCGAACGAGAGAAUUGCUAGCUUGCUAAUAAUUCUCUAGUGGCGCACGGGUGAGUAACACGUGAGUAACCUGCCCCCGAGAGCGGGAUAGCCCUGGGAAACUGGGAUUAAUGCCGCAUAGUAUCGGAAGAUUAAAGCAGCAAUGCGCUUGGGGAUGGGCUCGCGGCCUAUUAGUUAGUUGGUGAGGUAACGGCUCACCAAGGCGGUGACGGGUAGCCGGUCUGAGAGGAUGUCCGGCCACACUGGAACUGAGACACGGUCCAGACACCUACGGGUGGCAGCAGUCGAGAAUCAUUCACAAUGGGGGAAACCCUGAUGGUGCGACGCCGCGUGGGGGAAUGAAGGUCUUCGGAUUGUAAACCCCUGUCAUGUGGGAGCAAAUUAAAAAGAUAGUACCACAAGAGGAAGAGACGGCUAACUCUGUGCCAGCAGCCGCGGUAAUACAGAGGUCUCAAGCGUUGUUCGGAAUCACUGGGCGUAAAGCGUGCGUAGGCUGUUUCGUAAGUCGUGUGUGAAAGGCGCGGGCUCAACCCGCGGACGGCACAUGAUACUGCGAGACUAGAGUAAUGGAGGGGGAACCGGAAUUCUCGGUGUAGCAGUGAAAUGCGUAGAUAUCGAGAGGAACACUCGUGGCGAAGGCGGGUUCCUGGACAUUAACUGACGCUGAGGCACGAAGGCCAGGGGAGCGAAAGGGAUUAGAUACCCCUGUAGUCCUGGCAGUAAACGGUGCACGCUUGGUGUGCGGGGAAUCGACCCCCUGCGUGCCGGAGCUAACGCGUUAAGCGUGCCGCCUGGGGAGUACGGUCGCAAGAUUAAAACUCAAAGAAAUUGACGGGGACCCGCACAAGCGGUGGAGUAUGUGGCUUAAUUCGAUGCAACGCGAAGAACCUUACCUGGGCUUGACAUGUAAUGAACAACAUGUGAAAGCAUGCGACUCUUCGGAGGCGUUACACAGGUGCUGCAUGGCCGUCGUCAGCUCGUGUCGUGAGAUGUUUGGUUAAGUCCAGCAACGAGCGCAACCCCUGUUGCCAGUUACCAGCACGUGAAGGUGGGGACUCUGGCGAGACUGCCCAGAUCAACUGGGAGGAAGGUGGGGACGACGUCAGGUCAGUAUGGCCCUUAUGCCCAGGGCUGCACACGUACUACAAUGCCCAGUACAGAGGGGGCCGAAGCCGCGAGGCGGAGGAAAUCCUGAAAACUGGGCCCAGUUCGGACUGUAGGCUGCAACCCGCCUACACGAAGCCGGAAUCGCUAGUAAUGGCGCAUCAGCUACGGCGCCGUGAAUACGUUCCCGGGUCUUGUACACACCGCCCGUCACAUCAUGGAAGCCGGUCGCACCCGAAGUAUCUGAAGCCAACCGCAAGGAGGCAGGGUCCUAAGGUGAGACUGGUAACUGGGAUGAAGUCGUAACAAGGUAGCCGUAGGGGAACCUGCGGCUGGAUCACCUCCUU